GGUCCAAUAGUGUAGAGGUUAUCACACGGGAUUCUGAUGGGUAUAUCACAUCUUGCAUUUCCCGUGACCCAGGUUCGAGUCCUGGUUGGACCU
rnacentral:tRNA from 1 species